CUCCUGUAGUACUUUCAUAUUGCUAUUAUAACAAAUUUACCACAAAGUUGGGUUAAAACAAUACAGAUUUGUUGUCUUACAAUCCUGGAGUCCAGGAGUACAAACACAGUUCAGCAAGACUUCAUCUCUCCUGAUGACUGUAAAAGAUAAUCUAUCCUUUCCUCAUUGUAGCAGCUUCCUCUAUUCCUUGGCUACCUUCUCACUUCUGUAUUGUUCUUUCUAUAUCGUGGCACUUUUGAUUCUUCAGUGACAGCAAGAUGGGUGACAAAGAUGUGAGGCAGGUGCCUCUUACUUGUGAUGUACCUUUAUGAUGUAGUGGCUUCUGAAAGAAGUCAACACUCUCUUGGUGAGCAUGUUUGUGGACUGCUAGAAGAUCUUACAACUCUCAGGAUCUCUCUCCCUUUUAUAGAGAUCUUAUCUAGAAGAUCGCUUCAUAUUAUUCCUGCGUCAGCCUCUGAUUCCUUCAGCCACUGUGUUCCACUCCUGGAGGUCUUGAUGGGCAGGAUCAUUUCUGUGACAGCCCAAACUAUCCUUCCUCCUGGGAGGUCCACGUCUGACCAAGAAGAGAAAAAAAUGCUUGAUCCGUCAAAUUCUGGAAGCACAGGCCCUUCCCAGGGUACACAAGCUUCUUCAUUCUGCAGGUCGGCAGGAUACUCUGACGUGUACAUGGCUGUAGAGGGAAGGAAAAGCCCACCCAUUGAACUGAAAUUCAGGACCUUUCAAAGCAUUGCCUGAACACUAAAAAAGUAAUUAUUUUAGUUAUCUCUUUCAUUGUCUAUAUAAUUU
rnacentral:lncRNA from 1 species